GCCCGGCUAGCUCAAUGUAAGUUUCCUAUCACUUUCAAUUUGCAAAAAAGUUUGACUAAGAAGAAUUUAGGGUCAGAGCGUCGGACUUUUACCUUGAAUAAGAUGAAAUCCGAAGGCUGAGGGUUCGAGUCCCUCGUCGGGCG